UCGAACGUACAGGAGAGCAAAAGAGGGUUUCUCUUUGAAACCCUAAACUCACGAAAUUUCAGUAAAUCGAAGGGAAAUCGAGCUAGAAAAUUUGGGGCUUUUACUAAAAUUGUGAUCACCAAGCUUAGAGAAUCAAGAGUUUGACUCUGACAAGCUAGGUAGGAGCUUGGAAAUGAACGGGUCAAAUGGAUACAAGUUCAAGUAUGAAGCUCGCAAGGAUGCAAGAAAUAGUUAUCGAGUGGAUAAUUACAUCGCUACACUUAGCGGCUAUUGAGGCAAGGUAUUUAAAUGGGUCAAUAUAAUGAUCCGAGCCAGGUACACAUAAUAAAUUAACUCUCAUUUAAACGUAAGGUUUAACGAGAGUUAAUCGGAGUCUAAAAUAGAUUUCGGUUACUUUAAUAGGUAAACCGAAUGUUACGAACGAUGGUCAUUACGUUUGAAAGGUCUAAUAACCUUUCAAACAAAAUCAUAGUUAAGAAGAAGGCUUAUGGGUCAAACUUGUUUACAAAAAUCUUUCAUCGUUAAUGAAGGGCCAAAAUGGACCAAAACGUCCUUAUAAGUCCAACUGAGCAAACAACCCCUAAAGGUUGUUUGGAAACGAGUUUUAUGGUUAGACAAAUACUUAGGACAAAUAUAGAAGUUGAAAGAUGUAAUACCUUAGCCAAAUGGCUCUAUUUGAGUCUUGCCGUAAAUAACGAGUUGAAGUGUAAAAACUCGUUUUAUAUAGUUUAUCAUAGUAAACCCACAAUCAAUUCAGCCAUGGUGGAAAAUUAUAUGAUAAGAAACAUGGUAAUGCAAAGCAUGAAGAACAUGCAGCAGCUACCGUAAGUUACGCUAGCUACCGUAACUUACGGUAGCAACUAAAGUUGUUACGCUAAAGAUGUACUGCCUUACGGCAGCCCCUGAAUGCCCAGUGGCUACCGUAACUUACGGUGGCUACCGUAAGUUACGGUAGCGCCCAGCUAUUUUUGUUGAAUUUCGUUUCGUGUACCCGUUUGAUUACGUUUUAAACCAAGUAUGACUAAAUCAUUUCAUGUUUAUGAAAUGUAGGUACAUUUUGAUGCUGGAAGAUGAUCAAGCUCAAUGAAGAACCGAACACGAUAAAGAUACAUGCUUCCGCAAGUUGUCGACGUUUUACAUUUCAAACGACGAAUUUAAUUACACUAAGUUGUUUUACUUUCAAGUCUAGAAAAGUUUUAAUAAACCCGUAUUUGAGCAAGAAUGUUUAAAUCUAAA